GGGGGGGGGGGGGGGUGUUUACACUAAGGUGUAACCUAGCGUGGCUGAACCUUAAUGUAACACAUGCAGGGAAAUAGGGGUCAGAGAUAAUCCUGCCCUGGAAUGGCGUAACUUUGAGCUGCAUAACAACUACUUGAAACUAGUUUGGGGUGUUAAUGUGCAGGCAGUCUAGGUUUAAGAGUUCCAGGAGCUGCCCAAAAUUACCUUGUAACAAGGCCCCUAUUUCCUGUUUGUUAUCAAACACUUUUGAAGAACCGGUAUUUAAAGUUUACCCCAGAGUUGGUCUCGCAUUUUAUGCUUUCAUCCUUUGGCCAAACAUCUGGCCAGAACCUUUGGAGGAAAAGAGCUAUUCUGAGGAGUUUACCAAGGAUCUGAAAAAGGGGUCUAGUAAUGGAGAGCUGGUAACAGUCUAAGCCCCAGGGAAGCUAACAUCUUCUCCUUAGAAACCCCAGUUCUACUGCAUGUGCAGUGAUUUGGACUUUAGACCAUGAAAGUCCUGCCUGAUUCAUUUCACCUAAUGUUCAGUACCCUGAUAACGUACGACCACUAUGGAGCUGGAAGAUGUAGAAACGCAGGGCUCUGAUCCAUAAUGUACUGCUGGCCGUUGAAUAUUAUUACAUAAGCCAUGGCCCAAAGCCCCAUUGCAGCAGUGUUCCUCCAAAAAAAUUAAGUGUUUUACUGUUCCAGCAAGGCUUCUUGACUGGGAUUUGGGGGAAGGAAUGUGGUGCUUUAUUUCACUUCUAGGGGUCAUGUUGCUUGUUUUUGCCAUAUGCCUCUGAGCUGCGUAUGUUUGCCAGAUUUGGCAUGGAUGGUUUGGCAUCAAAGAAUUCAGCUUUGGAGCUCUGCCGAGUUUAGAGCAGUGAUUCUCAACCUGGGUACUGGAGCGCCCUAGGAUCUGGCAUUAAAACUAAGAAGACUGACUCUGACAUUAAAACUAAGAUCUGGCAUUUUCUGCGGAGUGCCUUGAGUCUACACACUGGUUUAGGGCAUCAGUCUAGGGCAGUGGUUCUCAACCUUUUCUGUACCAGGACCCAUUUAUAAACAUUGAUAGCCAGUCCUGAUCCAGUGCCUCUUACUCUCGACCCACUACCCCCAGGCCCCCAGUAUGUGGGGCAGGGGUAGGUGUGUGGGGCAUGGGGAGUGCCAAGCCGCCCAUUGCAGGCUGGAACUCUGCUAGCCUGCAAGGGAAAAGCCCCAGUUGAAGGGCUCUCCUUCAAUUUACCAGAGCAGAAAGUUGUGCUUUUUCUGAUGUUAUGGAAUUGCCUGUGGUGUAGCUGUAGGUGUCUGAUUUGCAUGAUCUCUGUGGUGCUCUUCCUUAAUGGUCCGAGAGGGACUAUGCAAAUCCCUCCACUCCCAACUGGCUACUAUAAUCCCUUUGCUGUGACUCAUGUCUUGCAUUCAGAAUCCUCAAGCUGUUUGACAGGCACGGAGAUGUUACCUCAGCUCCCUUCAGCUCCAGCAGAAAAACAUGGAAAUGUGCAAGAAGUGCACCAUGCUAAAAGGAAUAUAGGGCCAGGAAGCUGGAGAAAGAAAAACUUUUUUAACAAAAUCUCUUUCUCUUCCUCUCUUCUACUUCCUUCCAGGUGGCAGCAGGGCUCUUGGCCCUGGAAGAGCUAGCACAGUAGUUCUCAACCAUGCCACCAUGGGGUACCUUGAGAUCUUUUCAAGAGUACUGUGGGGUGCCAAGCAAUGUUAGUACUGUCAGGUGUGCAAACAUGAUUCAUAGUAUAAACCCAGAGAUUAGGAAUCCUUAGUGUUAAACUAUUUUGAUGUGUUGUGGACUUCCUGAAUUCUUUGUCAGAAGAAAAUUGCUCUAUUAUUUUUCUGUAGUCAAAAAACAAAUGAAAACUAAGAUGUGACAUUUUCUGAGGGGUGUCUUGAGUUUGAAAAGGUGGAGAAUCACUUAUAUAUAUAUAUAUAAAUUACUGGGAAAAUCCCAGAUACUUUCUUUUAAGUUAGUUUUGAAGAAUGGUAUGAAUACUAUGUUGAAGCUCUUCUGGGGGGGGACAGUACUGGGAUCUUUACAGGUAAGUUGAGAGGGAGCAGAAUGGAAGAGGUAGAAGGUAGAUUGGGGACAAAGGCCAUGCUGUCACUCCCCAACCAUCCAGAUGAAUGUGUAAGACACUGAGCAACUAGCUCAUAGUGUGUUUCUAACUCUGCUAGUUAAUGAUUAAUUUGCGCCAUGGAUUAUGAGGACUUCACAGGUGAAAUCAGGGGUCUAUUGCAAAAUCCUCCCUGGCUUCAUAGAAACAGAGUUUGACCUUUGGUCUCUAGGCAUUCGUGAACAAACAAGCAUAAUUGGAGUGUUUGCUAUUCCAUGUAAGAGUUGCAUUCUUUUUUUGAAUCUCUCUAAGCUUUUGGUUCCUUCCAGAUCUUGGAUUUCUGAGCGCUAAUUAUGCAUUGCGUGAAAGUUGUCUUUUGGGUGGUUUCAAGCACAUCAGUUUUCAGUGCAGCUGAACAAUCCUCUUGUUCCUUUAACUGAGUGUGUUCAAUUCUGUAUCCUGUCUUCUGUAUUCCCCUCCCUCUUCCCCCCUCUUAUUUGUUUCAUCUACAAACUAAAUUUGUUCAGCUCCUGAUAUGGGAGUCUGUCUGAUAAGCUUCUAAUAAUUUUGUCUUUUGUCUCUAUGGCUCUCUUGUAGCCCUGUGAGAUAUAUCUUUGCAGGGGUGGAAGUUGGGAUUGGAGGAAAAUUAAACACGGUCCUUAAGCCAGGUGACUUAGACAAGUGCGAGGAGGGCUUUUCAGUCCUGUUACACUUUCUUUACAAUCAGCUUGACAGCCCCUUUUGUUUUCUUGUUUUGUAGUUUUCUUUUUCUUUAUUUGAAGCGUUUAGUGUCACUUGAGAGUGCUUCCCUUCUUGAUGAGUCGAGCAACCAUUUUCUGAAUAAAUAAACUCUAACCUGUAGUUUAAUUCAGUCCUAGAUAUUGCGAUUUUUUUUUUUUUUAAGCACCCCUCCUCCCAUAUUGCGAUUUUGAAUCUAGUAAGGCUAAUUAAAUCUUACGGAAUUGAGUUACAGACAGGCUGGCCCAUUUUCUUCUGCAUGCUGUAAAGUUUGGAAGCAAUUGUGGAAAAAGUUGCUUAAAAUGGCCAACCGACUUCCAUCGUGUGAGGAUUUUUUUUGCCUAUGGGUGGCUGCUUCAACAAAGCAUUAUUAAUGCACAGCUUCAGGGGAUGUGCAAAAAACAACCCAAGCCAUAAACAUUACAAUCACUGAAAGCUUUUCUAAUGUUUGAAGCAUUAGCAGAGAGAGCAACGUGGCUGUUAUCUUUGGCAAACUCCCUCCUUUUGUGAGUGUCUAUAGACAAUUAAGAGAAAUGGCAGCCUUCUACCUCUGUGUUUGCUGUCUCUGUACAUAUGCUAAAGCAAUAGAGGAAAACACCCUCCCCCCACCACUAAAUAUCAGCACACAGAUGUCUGAAAGGUGUUUCACCAUGUACAGAGAAAAGGUUUUUAAUACAGUGUCUUAUGUACAAACAGAAGUAACAAUACAAUUCCCAAAGCAGAGAAAACUUGCUCUGAAUAUCAUAAUGAGAUUGCUAACCAUAGGAUGGAUUUUGCUGCAAGUGAGAUGGGAGUCCUGUUGCCUUUGACUCUUAAAGCUAGGUUGGAGAAAGCCCUGUAUUAUAAAGAACAGUUCUGCAUUGACCCAAGGGAAAUGGAUUGGAUGAUCUAAUAAGUGCUUUCAUUUCUAACUUCUCUAAUUCACAGAAUGUUAAGAGUCUGCCUUAUUUGCACUCUGAUCAUGCAGACAUAGUACCAGGGGGUGUGUUAUGUCACAGAUCGUAUUAUCAGUACAGCACCAUUGCCCUCAGUUACUGUGUUUCUAAACACUAUGUUGCCCAUUACAUGAGUAAUUGCCACUUAUUUUAUGCAUAAAUAUUCAAAUUCCCAUGAAACAGUCUGUUUUUAAGCAUCAGUCAUAUAUAAACUAAAUGCUUGCCACAUCCCUGAAGAGAAUGCUGCUUCUGUGUCAAAACUAAUAUCAUGCCGUCUCCUACGUAGGUAACAGCCAGCCAGUGUCACUCUUGGAGCACAGGUAUUAUGUGUUCUUAGCAUAAUGCGAACAUCUAUUUACAGCUUCUGAAAUGUCCACAAUGCAGUGCAUGUCAGUCCCUUCAGUUUGGAGGUGUUGAAGACGUGGAAAACCCUAGAAAUGUCCACAUUCAAAAGAAACAACCUCUCGCACCUCACCCAAUGUGUGUUAGUGAGGCAGAAAACUAGUAUUGCCAACUUUCAGCAUUUAGCAAUCUAGAUUUAGACCCAAAAUAUAUUUAUAAUUUCUGUCUCCUUUCUCUGUGUUCCAAUUUGUGAAAGCUGAGGAUGUACUUCAGUUACAAUUGUAAGCUUUUAUGUGCACCCACAGAAACUAGCAGCUGAGAACUGCAAGAGCUAUAAUGAAAGUUGAGAAUCUCAUGUAAAUCACCUGACUCCAAGGCCGGGGCCUUUAAGGAACAUACUAGGCUUGCAGUGCCUAGGGGGAUAGUUUGCACAGGUACCAUCAACAUCUCCCUGAGCAGCCUGGGAUUGGAAAACACCUUGCAGGGGUGAUGGCAGAGGGCAGAAGGAUCCUCUCUACUAACUCUGCAAAUCAUUUACCUGCAGUUCUGCUUGGUCCCUUCCCCAAGUCCCCACUUUGCAGACAAGUAUGAGCUUAGGCAGGCUUAUUUAGAUCAGUGGUUCUUAACCUUUUUGGACUCAAGGCACUUGUUGCUAGACUCAAGGCACCCCUCCGUAACUUUUGGGAAUUGAGCAGCACCUCAUUUCAACAACUAACUUCUUGCAGUGUUUGCCUCCUUGCAGAGGUAAGCACUGCACAGUGAGGGCAAGAGAGUGGCCAUGCAGGGAGGGGCCUGAGCCUGUGAUUUAUCUCCUUAUCUUCUCACACCUUGCUUAUAUCAUCAUACUUCAUGGCAGCCUUCAAAGGAUCCGGUGUCACCCUGCUUGAGAAUCACUGAUUUAUAUGGUGCCCUGUUUAGCUAGACCUUGCUCAGACCACAGGAUCUGUAACUUGUUUAAUGCUAUCUCUGCCUGGUCAUGGGAUCCCUCCCAGGCUUUCCUGAUUUACACAGGAUUUGCAUCUCCUUAGGAAAAAAAAGCCUGAUAUAGAAGGCUUCUUGGAGGCCACAAUGCCCAGUUGCUACAGGGAGGUUCUCAGAGCCAUGGAGCAGAAGGCAGAAGCUGGACUGACAGCCCUAGUGAGAGCUGUUCUCACCACCUUGGAAACUGGGGAAUGGUCAAGGAUGAGAAGAAAGUUUCCUUCUUUUUCGGGACUAAAAUGUAUGCGUGUAAAUUGGGAAACCUCUCACUGUCAGCACAUGGAAAGGCUGUUGCAGCUGUUGCCCUUUAUCUAGGGCAGAGCAUCUCAUUAGAAGCCUGUAGGGCAGGUGGAGGGCCCUCUCUUCUGCCUCUUCCCUGCUUGAAGGCACAGAUGUACCAGCUCUGGAACCGGUUGCACAGCCUGCUUGUAUUUUCACAUAGGACAGGCAGAAGGGAAGGAGAAGUAGGAGCAAGGAGCGUUCAACCUAUGGGGAAGAGGAGGAACUUCUUUGAGCUACUACCCUCUUUCAGCUCCAUCUUCUCCUGAAAAUGGUAUAAACGACUCCCUCCCUGCCAGCCUUGCAGAAGCUUCUCUCUCCAGCUGUAAUAGGAGGUGGGGAAAUGGACAAGCAAGAAAAAUUCCCCAGGAUAACCUCACAUGAGUGGGUAUAACUGAGAAGAAUUGCUUAUCAACCUAUGCGUGAAAUGAGCCAGAUCACCUCAGUCUAGUUCCAGGAUAAUGUAGAUGCCCACAUCAGGACGUAGGCCUUUGCCAACAAGGCAGGAUAAAAAUCAAUGACCAAACAAUAAAAAAUAAAUUUGGAUUUUAAAAUUUUAA